CAGCCAUUGGCUUGGGCAAAAUGGUGUAGAAGGUUGCCCCGUUUGGUGGGGACCAUGCUAAGGAUGAGAGACUUCUAUAUGGAAAUCACAUUCCAUUUUGAGAGUUCUGUCAUACCUUUCAUUUCAAGGAUUGCACCUUCAGAUACUUACAAAAUUUGGAAGAGAGGUGCAAAUUUGAGGGCAGACAUGACUUUGGCUGGUUUUGAUGGUUUUCGGAUUCAGCGUUCAGAUCAGAGUAUACUGUUCUUUGGCGAUGGCUCUGAGGAUGGGAAAGUCCCUCCUGGAUCACUUUGCAUGGUCUCACAUAAGGAGAAGGAGGUGAUGAAUGCUUUGGAUGGUGCUGGUUCUCCAGCAACUGAAGAGGAGGUUCGGCAAGAGGUGGCUGCAAUGUCUCAGACUAACAUAUUCAGGCCAGGAAUUGAUGUGACCCAGGCAGUUCUUUU
rnacentral:misc_RNA from 1 species